rnacentral:ncRNA from 1 species
GGGACUACGGCCUUUUAGGUCGCGGAAGUUUGAGGCAAUAACAGGUCUGUGAUGCCCUUAGAUAUUCUGGGCCGCACGCGCGCUACACUGAUGUAUUCAACGAGUUAUAGCCUUGGCCGACAGGCCCGGGUAAUCUUUGAAAUUUCAUCGUGUUGGGGAUAGAUCAUUGAAAUUGUUGGUCUUCAACGAGGAAUUCCUAGUAAGCGCGAGUCAUCA